GAUGAACGCUGGCGGCGUGCCUAAUACAUGCAAGUCGAGCGAACGGACGAGAAGCUUGCUUUUCUGAUGUUAGCGGCGGACGGGUGAGUAACACGUGGAUAACCUACCUAUAAGACUGGGAUAACUUCGGGAAACCGGAGCUAAUACCGGAUAAUAUUUUGAACCGCAUGGUUCAAAAGUGAAAGACGGUCUUGCUGUCACUUAUAGAUGGAUCCGCGCUUCUUUAGAUAGUUGGUAAGUUAACGGCUUACCAAGGCAACGAUGCAUAGCCGACCUGAGAGGUGGAUCGGCAACACUGGAACGGGGACACGGUCAAGACUCCUACGGGAGGAAGCAGAAGGGAAUCUUCGGCAAUGGGCGAAAGCCUGACGGAGCAACGCCGCGUGAGUGAUGAAGGUCUUCGGAUCGUAAAACUCUGUGAUUAGGGAAGAACAUAUGUGUAAGUAACUGUGCACAUCUUGACGGUACCUAAUCAGAAAGCCACGGCUAACUACGUG
rnacentral:rRNA from 1 species